CACGUAGGCACCAAGCGUUGUCCGGAUUCAUUGGGCGUAAAGGGUGCGUAGGCGGCGCGGUAAGUCGGGUGUGAAAUCUCGGAGCUUAACUCCGAAACUGCAUUCGAUACUGCCGUGCUUGAGGACUGGAGAGGAGACUGGAAUUUACGGUGUAGCGGUGAAAUGCGUAGAUAUCGUAAGGAAGACCAGUGGCGAAGGCGGGUCUCUGGACAGUUCCUGACGCUGAGGCACGAAGGCCAGGGGGAGCAAACGGGG
rnacentral:rRNA from 1 species